rnacentral:rRNA from 1 species
GACGAACCGAGCGAACGUUGUUCGGAAUCACUGGGCUUAAAGGGCGCGUAGGCGGGCUGCCGCGUCCGGGGUGAAAUCCCACGGCUCAACCGUGGAACGGCCCCGGGUACGGGCGGCCUCGAGGGGGGUAGGGGCGUGCGGAACUGUGGGUGGAGCGGUGAAAUGCGUUGAGAUCCACAGGAACUCCGGUGGCGAAAGCGACGUGCUGGACCUUUUCUGACGCUGAGGCGCGAAAGCUAGGGGAGCAAACGGG